UAAUUUAAAAGACAGUAGUUAAACUCUACUAUUAAGGA
rnacentral:tRNA from 1 species